GUGUAGCGGUACUGAACCUGGAAAUGCGUAGAUUUCGGGAAGAACAUCGGUGGCGAAGGCGCUCUACUGGACACUGAGGGACGAAAGCUAGGGGAGCGAAUGGGAUUAGAUACCCCAGUAGUCCUAGCUGUAAACGAUGGAUACUAGGUGUAGCUUGUAUCGACCCAAGCUGUGCCGAAGCCAACGCGUUAAGUAUCCCGCCUGGGGAGUACGCACGCAAGUGUGAAACUCAAAGGAAUUGACGGGGGCCCGCACAAGCGUGGUGGAGUAUG
rnacentral:rRNA from 1 species